GACGUCCGCGGCCCCGUCCAGAACAGCCGAGGCCGCCGCCACCCCGGCCAGAACCACGAGGGCCGCGGCCGCCCGGUCCGCCGCCUCAUCACCAUAGACCGCGCGGCCCGCCACCACCAUGAUCACUCCGUCCACUAGCAACGGUGUCGCGAUAGGAUCUGACAAAUACUAUGUACUUCUUCAUGAGAGACGCCGGUGCUGUGGUGUUCUACAUUUCUGUACCAGGAUUCCCGUCCUUGCCGGUUCAUAUGUGGAACCUAGUCGUGUGUGUGUACGUGCAAUAAAGUCCCAAUGUAUUGGUUGAUGUACAAAUAGUUGUUGAUCUUGUUUGGGUAUGAUUGAUCUUACACGCAAAAGAACAAAAAGGAAAAACGAUUCCCUUCCAAUUAACAUUCCUUUAGCUUUAUACGAUG
rnacentral:lncRNA from 1 species